rnacentral:rRNA from 1 species
UACGUAGGGGGCAAGCGUUGUCCGGAUUAUUGGGCGUAAAGAGCGUGUAGGCGGCCAGGUAGGUCCGUUGUGAAAACUCGAGGCUCAACCUCGAGACGUCGAUGGAAACCCUCUGGCUAGAGUCCGGAAGAGGAGAGUGGAAUUCCUGGUGUAGCGGUGAAAUGCGCAGAUAUCAGGAAGAACACCCGGUGGCGAAGGCGGCUCUCUGGGACGGUACUGACGCUGAGACGCGAAAGCGUGGGGAGCAAACAGG